AGGCCACGUAAGCAGAAUGGUUGAAGUACUGAUAAAGGAUUUGUUGGCUCCAACAUAGAAUAAGUCUUAUUAGUCUUAUUAGUCACCACUAUUUGACCCACUACAGUUCGUUGUACAAGUUACAUAUACUCAGUCAGUGAUAGAAUGAACAACAGCAACUGUAAUUGUAUUCUGGCCAGUUAAAAUAAAUAGUAGUGAUAGUAGUGUGUGAAGUACCUUGCUGUAAACCAGAAACAACAUAAAUUCUUUUUUUUCUUUUUUUUUUCUUUUUUUUUUUAGUUACUCUUGAAUGGAGAAAGAAAAAAAAAAAAGAAAAAUCAUUUUAAAAAUGAGCUGUUUUAUAAAACCUACUAGGUAGCAAGCACAUCAUGAAGGAGGCUGGAAGAGAGGGUCAAAGUUCAGGUUUGGCUUGCUGUCUCACUUGAUCUAAAUCUUCCCACAUGUUCAACAGUGCUCAUUAUCACAAAUAAUAAAAUUCAGAUGUUGAAGAACAAGAGUUCAGUUCAUCAGAGGAAAAUCUGAAGAAAAUUGUCUUCAAAAUGCAGGUUUCACAUUAGAAAAAAAAAAAAAAAGUCAUUUGUUGUGCAUAUUUUCCUGUUUUCCUUGCUUUUUAACUUCAAACCAAUACAAAGCUCUUUUUUUUUUUUUUUUUUUUUUUUCAUUUUUUUUAAAGGGGGUGAAAAAAAAAUUUUUAUUUUUUUUAUCAACUUUUAAAUUAAAAAAAAAGGAAGCCAGUCCUAUAAAAUAGAAAAAAAGAAAAAAUGAGAGGUUAAAAUAAUAAUAAUAAUUAUUAUUAAUAAUAAUAUAUUGAUAUUCCCCAACUGUAAAGUAAUCAUUAAAACUGAAUAAAAUAAAAUUCCCUAAAAUAUGGAAUAAUGCAGCAUAUAAAAUAUAGACCAGAGCAAAAUGCAACUGUAAAUAUACACAGAGGAAUCUGUGGCCAUCAGUUAUGCCACAUUUCUUCAGCCACAUGCUGGACCAUGCACUUCUGCUGAGAAAAAGCUUUAUAGAAAGAGAUGACUAUGUUUGUCUUGAGCUUACCAAACUUCGGGCCUGUUUACUGGAAGAAUCCUUCCAUUAAAGAACAUGCCACUGACCAUAUGACAGAGAAACAACCAGGUUGCUACUAGAUUCCCCCACUCUGUAUCCACCACAGUCUCCAGAGAUGGUAAAAUUUGGUCCUCCUUUACUUCUCCUUCCUCACAUAGUUUAAAAACUCCUGCUUUGAUAGCUUUUCCUUUAAUGAAAGGUCAGUGAAUGUGCAUUGUUUGACAUAAUUGAUGGUGUUGUUAAUUAGAAUUAUCCUGUACUUUAAAUAGCCUGUGCUUCUAAGAUCUGCAGCAGAAGAGCUACCUCCUGCCGAGUUUCUGAGAUCUAAAGAAGGAUAGCUUCCUCAAGAACUGUUUACAAGCUUCUUUACUGUGCUUGUAGCAUCUAUAAUCUGUAGAAGAAAGACUCCCUCCUGUGGAACUAAUAAAAUCCACAGGAGAAAUGCUGUGGAUUUCCCA
rnacentral:lncRNA from 1 species